AAAUAUUUUGCCUUGCUAACAAGCAGGCCAUCUUAGCACUUUACUACCAGUUAUUUCUCUCUAAAGGAGAUGUAAUAGCUCCUACUUAUUUGGUGUACUGCUCUCACUCAUGUGUACACCCCACCCUUCCUGCUGCCCCACUUUUUCUAGGAACAGCUGAAACCUGAUAGCCCUUCGUUCAGCAUUCUUCUCAGAUAGGCGACUCUUGGUUUUCUGUCAUCUUCCAGUUCAAAGAAAGCUCCAGUGCUUUUGUGCAUAGAGAAUUUCCCAUAUGGGCUGGGGAGAGGCAGAGGGCCACCCCACCUUGGUUGUGUUCAGUGACAGCUUGAAAACAGGGGAAAAGGAGAACAUCUUGCCUCCUCAAAGUGGCAGAGGACACUUUGAGUAAGAAAAACUACAUUAAAUUGGGGCCGCCUAGAAUUUGGCUGCAUUAACCCAUCUCCUUUACUCUUCUGGCACCUGCCCCGGGAGCCUUCCCAACCACACACUGGUCGCCCUCUUGGUUUUGCAACUCAGGAGGCUUCCCACAGGCCGGUGCCCCGAGCACCCUGCAGUAACCUUCACUCACAACUGAUUCAGGGGGAAGUGUGCCACCUACUGAAGGACCUCGGCCACUUUCUAUAUGCCUUGGACUUGCUUUCGUUUCUUUCCUCAACUUUUCGGGUCUUCACACCACGGGUUUUAAUUAGGCAUUAGUUAUUAGGAGUUAGGCUUAUGAAAGUCAGUAAACUCAGCAAUUGGAAGGUCAUGAAGGUGAACGUGAGGAAAUGUGAUCCAGGCUAGUUCCAUCUAAUCCAUGCGUAAGCAGUGUAAUUUGAGAUCAAAAUAAAUCCUCUGUCUGAAAGCAACUGUGUUGCCCCUACACUGCCACUUUUGCCAAAAGUGGGAUGAAUAUCAAGAAUUGAGGCUAUAACUUCAAGAAAGCUUAGAUUUGGGGGUUAGUCUGUACAACCAAUGGAUGUGUUGGUUACACUGACAUCAUGGUAUUUGCUGUUCAGGUAGCAGCAAGGUGGAUUUUUUUUAACAAGUGAGUGAACAACUUCCUUCACUGUCAGACAGUAGUUCCCUUUGAUAGCACGCUCUCUUGAGUUAAUCAUUCGGCUGAACAAGCUCAAAAGAAACUUCAGAGAGUCGUUGCCAUAACUUGUUUGACACACCUAGACGGUGUCCUUCGGUUACCCAUGUCUCGUGUUAGGAAGUUCUUCCUCCAGGGGAAUGCAUCACUUCUGGAGUAUAACUGAAGUAUCAACAAAGUUAAAACAUUGGCCAGCACUGUUUCAACUAGAAAUCCAUGUUGUAAUAGCAGGUGAUAAUUAAAUAUUUUAACAAGACAGUGGCUUUUACUAAAAUCCAUGGGAUUAGUGACUGAAAAACUGGUUAUGAGAGCCUCUCAUAUCGGAGUCUGAUUUAAAUUCUUCUCGCGUGCGUUAUAGUAGAUGAUCAAAAUACCCGAAAUUCUGAUUCACUGAAACUAACAGAUAAUACGUGUCUUUGAAGCUUAUCACACUUCUGUAUUGGGCAUAUUUAUUCCUGUGAAAUCUUUCCACUGGAAAGUAAAAAAUGGAAUAAAAUGUAUUAAAGUAAGUAUCUUAAUGUA